rnacentral:rRNA from 1 species
CCUACGGGAGGCAGCAGUGGGGAAUAUUGGGCAAUGGAGGAAACUCUGACCCAGCAACGCCGCGUGAAUGAUGAAGGUCUUCGGAUUGUAAAGCUCUUUUCUAAGGGAAGAAGAAAGUGAUGGUACCCUAGGAAUCAGCCUCGGCUAACUACGUGCCAGCAGCCGCGGUAAUACGUAGGAGGCGAGCGUUAUCCGGUAUGACUGGGCGUAAAGGGUGCGUAGGUGGUUUGGCAAGUUAGUUGCGUAACUCCAAGGCUCAACCUUGGAACUACUACUAAAACUGUUGGACUUGAGUGCAGGAGAGGCAAGCGGAAUUCCUAGUGUAGCGGUGGAAUGCGUAGAUAGUAGGAGGAACACCAGUGGCGAAGGCGGGUUGCUGGACUGUAACUGACGCUGAGGCUCGAAAGCGUGGGGAGCAAACAGGAUUAGAUACCCUGGUAGUC